rnacentral:rRNA from 1 species
GUAGGCGGUUGUUUAAGUUUGGUGUGAAAUCUCCCGGCUCAACUGGGAGGGUGCGCCGAAUACUGAAUGACUUGGAGUGCGGGAGAGGAAAGUGGAAUUCCUGGUGUAGCGGUGAAAUGCGUAGAUAUCAGGAGGAACACCGGUGGUGUAGACGGCUUUCUGGACCGUAACUGACGCUGAGACACGAAAGCGUGGGUAGCAAACAGGAUUAGAUACCCUGGUAGUCCACGCCCUAAACGAUGCAUAUUUGGUGUGGGCAGUUCAUUCUGUCCGUGCCGGAGCUAACGCGUUAAAUAUGCCGCCUGGGGAGUACAGUCGCAAGGCUGAAACUCAAAGGAAUUGACGGGGGCCCGCACAAGCGGUGGAGCAUGUGGUUCAAUUCGACGCAACGCGAAGAACCUUACCUGGGCUCGAACGGCUGGUCAACGGAGGUGGAAACAUCUUUACCCCGCAAGGGGGUCCAGUCGAGGUGCUGCAUGGCUGUCGUCAGCUCGUGUCGUGAGAUGUUGGGUUAAGUCCCGCAACGAGCGCAACCCUUGUCCUGUGUUGCCAUCAUUCAGUUGGGAACUCGCAGGAGACCGCCAGCGAUAAGUUGGAGGAAGGUGGGGAUGACGUCAAGUCCUCAUGGCCUUUAUGUCCAGGGCUACACACGUGCUACAAUGGGCGGUACAAAGCGUCCCAAACCCGCGAGGGGGAGGCAAUCGCAAAAAACCGUUCUCAGUUCGGAUUGCAGGCUGCAACUCGCCUGCAUGAAGCUGGAAUCGCUAGUAAUGGCAGAUCAGCACGCUGCCGUGAAUACGUUCCCGGGCCUUGUACACACCGCCCGUCACAUCACGAAAGUGGAUUGUACUAGAAG